GCCUGAUCAGCCAUACCGCGUGGGUGAAGAAGGCCUUCGGGUUGUAAAGCCCUUUUGUUGGGAAAGAAAAGCAGUCGGCUAAUACCCGGUUGUUCUGACGGUACCCAAAGAAUAAGCACCGGCUAACUUCGUGCCAGCAGCCGCGGUAAUACGAAGGGUGCAAGCGUUACUCGGAAUUACUGGGCGUAAAGCGUGCGUAGGUGGUUGUUUAAGUCUGUUGUGAAAGCCCUGGGCUCAACCUGGGAAUUGCAGUGGAUACUGGGCGACUAGAGUGUGGUAGAGGGUAGUGGAAUUCCCGGUGUAGCAGUGAAAUGCGUAGAGAUCGGGAGGAACAUCCAUGGCGAAGGCAGCUACCUGGACCAACACUGACACUGAGGCACGAAAGCGUGGGGAGCAAACAGGAUUAGAUACCCUGGUAGUCCACGCCCUAAACGAUGCGAACUGGAUGUUGGGUGCAAUUUGGCACGCAGUAUCGAAGCUAACGCGUUAAGUUCGCCGCCUGGGGAGUACGGUCGCAAGACUGAAACUCAAAGGAAUUGACGGGGGCCCGCACAAGCGGUGGAGUAUGUGGUUUAAUUCGAUGCAACGCGAAGAACCUUACCUGGUCUUGACAUGUCGAGAACUUUCCAGAGAUGGA
rnacentral:rRNA from 1 species